rnacentral:snRNA from 1 species
GUAUAUUUAGAUACAUAUGCUAAAAUUGGAAUAAUACAGAGAAGAUUAGCAUGGCCCCUGCACAAGGAUGACAGGCAAAUUUGUGAAGCGUUCCAUGUUUUG